AAAUCAGUGUAGCUCUGUGUGUGUGUAUAUAUGUGUGUGUGUGUAUAUAUAUAUACACACACACACCCACACACAG
rnacentral:miRNA from 1 species